rnacentral:tRNA from 1 species
AUCUUUCUAGUAUUAAUGUCAGUACAGGUGGCUUCCAACCACUUAGUCUUGGUUAAAAUCCAAGGAAAGAUA